GCCAGGCAUGGUGGCGCAUGCCUGUAUUCCCUACUGCUGGGUGAGGCAAUUCUGAGCUGUAUCAGGGCCAAAGACAAUCAGGUGUCUGCACUAAAUACAGUACCAACAUGGUUAGCCCCUGGGAGAGGGGGACUGGUAGGCUGCCUAAGCAGGGUCUAACCGGCUCUGGUCAGAAAUAGAGCAGGUCAAAGUUUCCAUACUGAUCAGUAGUGAGAUUAACCCAUCAGUGGCUGCUGAACUUCCAGCCUAGGCAAAAU
ensembl:misc_RNA Metazoa_SRP Metazoan signal recognition particle RNA